UACGGAGGAUCCAAGCGUUAUCCGGAAUCAUUGGGUUUAAAGGGUCCGUAGGCGGUUUGGUAAGUCAGUGGUGAAAGCCCAUCGCGUCAACGGUGGAACGGCCAUUGAUACUGCCAGACUUGAAUUAUUAGGAAGUAACUAGAAUAUGUAGUGUAGCGGUGAAAUGCUUAGAGAUUACAUGGAAUACCAAUUGCGAAGGCAGGUUACUACUAAUGGAUUGACGCUGAUGGACGAAAGCGUGGGUAGCGAACAGG
rnacentral:rRNA from 1 species